GAAUAUAUAAGUGGCUCAUAUAUUUAAACAAUAAAAGAUGAUCUACCUGGUUAAAAAAUAGGGGGAAAAACCCUUAAACUGAUACUUCAUAAAGGAAAGUAUUCAAAUGGCCAAUAAAAAAGUGAAGACAUUUUUCAACAUUAUCAAUCAUUAAGUAUAUGAUAUUUAAACCAUAGUAAGAUAUCAAUAUGCACUCAUCUAAAAUUCUAAAAUAAAUACCAACAACCCCAUGGGAACAUUAAAUGACUGAUUCUCACAUGCAAUCAAGAAAUAGCCACUUGACUUUUAUGUAUUUACCCAAGAGAAACAAAAACAUAUGUACAUAGAAACAUUUAGAUGAAAAUGUUCAUAGAAAUGUCAUUAAUAACAGAAACUGGAAAAAACAAAAAUGUCUGUAGUUCUUGUACAACCCAAGAUAGUGUCAUGUAAAUGGUUCUAUGUAUAUAUGUUUUGGUUUCUCUUGGGUAAAUACUUAAAAGUCAAAUAGCUAUUUCUUGAUUACAUUUGAGAACCAGUCACUUAAUAUUCGCUUGUGGUGUGUGUGUGUGUGUGCAUGUGCAUGUAUGUGCAUGUGUAUAAAAUAUUUUACAUACACACACACACACACACACACACACACACACACACACAUAUACAUAUAAAAUUUAAGAAUGGCCCACAAGAUUAUGGAGACAAGUCCAAAAUCUACAGAGUUAAUGUCUUGGUUUUUCUCAAUUUCUUUAAUUAUAUAAAAUGCAGUAACCAAAAUAUGUAUUGCUUUCAAAGUUUUUAAGAAGUUAUGAGCUUUAUGGGAUCAGAAUAUCCUUGGCAUUUUCUGAAAAAAGGAACUAUACAAUUAUUUCAAAGAAAUUUUCUAAGUUUCAAAUGGAAGUCAUCCCCUGUGUUUAUCAUUCUUCUUUGGGCUUCACUAUUUGAGACCUGUGUAGAAGGAAUGAAGAUAACAUUUAUGGUCGUUAAUUUUAUGUAUCAACUUGCUUGGACCAUGGAGUUCCCAGAUAUUUGACCAAACAUUAUUCUGAAUGUUUCUGUGACAGAGUGUUUUCAGAUGAUAUUAAUAUUUACAACAAUAAACUAAAUAAAGCUUAUUGCCCAUCAUGAGGUGAGUAGGCCUCAUCUAAUUGGUUGAAGUCCUGAUUAAACAAAAGGCUGACCCUGCCCCAAGUAAGAGAGAAUUCUGCCUGAGAGCUGAGAACUGUAACAGAGCUCUUCCUGGUUCUGUAGCAGCUUGCCACCCUUCAGACUCAAACUGAGACAUGAGCUAUGUAGAUUUUGUAUUUGUCAGCAUCCAUAAUCAUGUGAGCCAUUUUAUUAUUAUAUAUGUAUAUAGGAAAUAUUUUACACACACACACCCCAAGGGAAUAUUAAGUAGCUGGUUCUCACAUGUAACCAAGAAAUAGAUAUUUAACUUUUAAGUAUUUACCCAAGAGAAGCAAAAACAUGUAUACACAGAACCAUUUAGAUGAAAAUGUUAAUACAGAUGUCAUUCAUAACAAAAAUAUAUAUAACAAAAAUAACUAUAUGCUUAUCCUAAUUUAUUUGACCCUGAAUAUUUGCAAGUUUAUACAAGUCAGGUAAUACAUAAUGUAAUUAUUAGUUGUUUCUGGACAAUGAUUCAACCCUUCAAUAAAGUUAGCAAGUAUGUGGUAAACUCUGAAUUCAGUAGCCUCAAAAUUGAUGGUGGAAUUCACAAAUUCAUUUUCAAAUUGUUUGCAGCCUACUUGGGUGAUAAUUGCAUUUUAAAACUGUUAUAUCUCAGGUAUAAAAUGUAAGUUUCUUUGUGGAAUGUAAUUUUGGCAACUUAUGUUCUUUGUAGUUAUCCUUGGAAAAAAUAAAAAUGGACUUGUAUUUAUUAUACGAGAAAAUCUUACCCCAAUAAUUAUAAAAUCUUACCAUAAUAGUUAUAAUCUUUCUUUUACCUAAAGCUGUAGAAUUCUUGGGUCUAGCUAUCCUUUAUAACUGUAUAUUCUUUGUAUAUUCAUACAUUAUCUAAACAGUGAUAGUUGAGUUAUUUUAAUCUGAAUGUUAUUCUAUAUAACAUAUUGCUCCUAAAUUUUACUGAAAUUAUAAAAACUAAUUUCUCAUACUUGAAGAUUCAUAAGGAAUGUUAAGAAAACGUUAUGAUUCUUCAAAAGAUAAGUCUCAGUAUACUAUUAUUGGUACCUAAAUACAUUACAAUAAGACUCUAAAUGGAACUAGGUUGUAUAAUAUUGUCUCACAAAUAAAUUUUGUAAAAGAAGACAUUUUCAAAUGUUCCAAUAUGUGCUCUCAGUUAAUUUAAAGGCCAAAGACUUUUGAAUUGAUAUAAUAAACUCUUAACAGAUAAAAAAUUAUAUGUCCUAAUAUCCAAAUGAUAUGUACCAGUUGUUGUUUUUAUUAACAGGCUAACUACAUGGGAAUAAUAGCAGGCCUCCAAUCCCGUGAUGGAACAGGCUGCCAGGAAGGUCUCUGAAAUGCCCUGGGUGCAUUGUCUAGUGAUUAAUAUCUGGCUCUUCUUUACUUAUGCAAAUUUCUGUAGCCUUGAUUUUCUCCCCAGAAAAUGAGGUGUUUUUUUUUUCUACCACAUAGUCAGGCUGCAAAUUUCCCAAACUUUAAUUCACUGCUUCCCUUUUAAGUUUAAGUUACAGUUCCUCAUCAUUUAUUUGUUUAUGCAAAUGCACAUGGACUUUUAGAAGCAACCAGGCCACAUCUUGAACUCUUCGCUGGUUGGAAAUUUCUUCCACCAGAAAACCUAAAUCAUCUCUCUAAAGUUCAAAGUUUCACAGAUCUCUAGAGCAGGGGCACAAUACCACCAGUCUCUUUGAUAAUGCAUAGCAAGAGUGACCUUUACUCCAGUUCCCAAUAAGUUCCCAUCUUCAUCUGAGAACAUCUCAGCCUGGACUUCACUGUUCACAUCACUAUCAGCAUUUCGAUCACAACUCUUCAACAAGUCUCUAGGAUGUUCCAAACAUUCCCACAUAUUCCUGUCUUAUUUUAAUUCCUUCAAGCUUUUCCAAUCUCUGCGCAUUACCCAGUUCCAAAGUCAUGUCCACAUUUCAGAUAUCUUUAUAGCAAUACCCCACUUCUCUAGUACCAAAUUCUGUAUCAGUCCAUUCUCACACUGCUAUAAAGAACUACAUAAGACUGAGAAAUUUAUGAAGAAAAGUGUUUUAAUUGACUCACAGUUUCACAGGCUGUAUAAAAAAGACUGUAUGGGAGGCCUCAGGAAACUUACAAUAAUGGCAGAAGGUGAAGAGGAAGCAGGCACAAACUUCACAUGGUGGAGCAGGAGAGAGAGAGAGAGCAAGGGGAGAAGUGCUAAGCACUUUUAAACAAGCAGAUCUCAUGAGAACUCACUCACUAUUAUAAGAACAGCAAGGGGAAAACUGUCCCCAUGACCCAAUCACCUCCCACCAGGGCCCUCCCCCAACAUUGAGGAUUACAAUUCAUCAUGAUAUUUGGGUGGGGACAUACAGCUAAACCAUAUCAAUGUGCUAACACAGUAAGACCUAUAAACAUCUCAGGAGACAAUACUGUAUCUCAUCAAGUAGCAGCUAUCAGGAUCCGAGGGAAUUUUGACACUAGACAGGCAUUUUUAUAGGACAAGGUCAUCUUAUUGACUAAUGUGGAGAGAUGGUCUACAUAAUCUGAUAGUACUCAGUUGUGUUGUGAAAAAAGGAAUGGGAGGGAGAAUGAGGAGAUAAGGAAGUUGGGGCAGAUUAAAAGAGCUAUUAAAAACAAACAGUUUCCUUUGUUUCAAUUUUGCCCUACUCAUGGACACAUCUCUGUAUCCCCAAUGUCUGUAGGAUUAUAUUUAAAGUCUUUUUUAAAAUUUCUUAUUAAAAUUAAACUGGAACAUUACUAGGAAAACUAAAUUUGAUACAAAUAUGUACUCUUAAGAUUUUCCAGUUUCAAUCAUAAAUUGCCUUUGAAAUAGCUGUUAUUUUGAAUAAUUCAUACCAAAGGUGAAACCAGACUGCAUGAGAAGGCAUAUCAUACAUUUUGUGAAUGUCCUACUUUUCAAGUGACAUCAAUUUGGAUACUUUUUAGGGCUGGACCAAUUACUUUGUAACGUCAGCUUAAUAAAAUGUAUGCACUUAACAUAAGCUCACUUAGUUUAAUGUGUUGCUUAUGUUGUCUAUAAAGUUCCAAAAAAAUCCAAAGAAUUGAAAAAGACAAUAAUUAUUUCGAUAGUUAACAUUAUAUGCCACUUAAAUGUUGAAUUGUCACUUUUUUGUUAUUUUCUGAUGAUUUUUAAAAGCGUAGUCCAUAAACAAAUUGCAUAUUUUGACUAUUAGACAAGUGAUUUUGUGAAUCUCUUUGCAUGCUUAGAGAAAUUCUGCUCACAUUUUGAUAAGUUAUGGCUCCUCAAAUCGUGGCUGUCAGAUGGCAACUAAGUAAUCUAAUACAAAAGGUAGGAGAAAUUAAUCACAAUAGUUUAACAUAGAAAGUAGAAUAAUAUAAUACACAAAUGGGCAGAAGUAAUUGAUUUGUGUUUAUUUUUAUCUACAGCCAUCCUAUUGUGGCUAUUGAUCACAGAAAAUUCAUAAAAUUAAUUAGCAUAAAAAUAAUUUACCUGAGAGCUUUUUAUUUUCUUUUCUUCUCCUGCCUAUCCAUGUUUCUACUCAUUUUUUCUUGGUUGGUUGGCUUCUGUGUAUGUUGAAUUAGAAAUAAAAAAAAUCAAGCUUUCUUUUCUUUAUAUCCACCUUUUUGAAAGUUUACAUAAAAUCCUUAAUAACAAUGCAACAAAACAAUAACAAGAACAACAAGAUGUAGGGUCAUUGGCUAAACAGAUGUUGAACUCUAGAUAUUGUGGACUAUAAUCAAAAGUAUUUAUCUACAAAAUCAUCUUCAACAUUUUAGUUGAAAUUUACAGAUCAUUGACUUCUUCAUUUUUUGUCAUUCCCUAGGAAAAGUAGUUUCAAAUAAAAAGCCACCUACUAGCCAAGCUGCAAUGUGUGAGAACUGCACUAGUUUACCUAUGACUGCAGGGUUUGAAUACACAUUUAAUAAACAUUUGCAUUCUACCUUGAGGUUUCUCAACAGAAUUACUUCUAAUUGGGAAAGAAACACAAAAGUGGAAGAAAUAAAGGAAAUGAAAAGUUUAAACAUAUUUUAACAGAACGUUUUGCUGAUAUAAAGUGUUCUGGCACUUAAGAUCAGUAAUAAUUGUUUAAUGGUGUAACCAGUGAAAUUAUUUGUGGCAAGUAACAAAUCCCUCAACUGCGAUUAUCAGCCAUAUUGUGAUGUACAAUAAUAAUAACAAAAUGAUUAUGGACCUUAUAUAUAAUUUAGGGGUCAGAGAAUAGGGG
rnacentral:lncRNA from 1 species